rnacentral:rRNA from 1 species
GAUGAACGCUGGCGGCGUGCCUAAUACAUGCAAGUCGAGCGAACAGACGAGGAGCUUGCUCCUCUGACGUUAGCGGCGGACGGGUGAGUAACACGUGGAUAACCUACCUAUAAGACUGGGAUAACUUCGGGAAACCGGAGCUAAUACCGGAUAAUAUAUUGAACCGCAUGGUUCAAUAGUGAAAGACGGUUUUGCUGUCACUUAUAGAUGGAUCCGCGCCGCAUUAGCUAGUUGGUAAGGUAACGGCUUACCAAGGCGACGAUGCGUAGCCGACCUGAGAGGGUGAUCGGCCACACUGGAACUGAGACACGGUCCAGACUCCUACGGGAGGCAGCAGUAGGGAAUCUUCCGCAAUGGGCGAAAGCCUGACGGAGCAACGCCGCGUGAGUGAUGAAGGUCUUCGGAUCGUAAAACUCUGUUAGUAGGGAAGAACAAAUGUGUAAGUAACUAUGGACGUCUUGACGUUACCUAAUCAAAAAGCCACGGCUAACUACGUG